GGCAGUGUAGCAUAGUGGUAAUGCACAGGGCUUAUAAUUCAAAGGUUGUUGGUUCAAUUCCCCGCAGGGGUA